UUUGUGCAGCGGAUCGUGACGUACACGGUGAUGGAUGACCUCAAGAUCGCGCCCAUGUCGACCAUCUCCGGGAUCACCAUCCUCAACACCUUUGGCAUCACGGACAUCGGCUCGCUCCAGGAGAAGACCGUGCAGCUUGGCUACGCCGAGGGUUUGGAGAUGCUGAAGGCGUCACUGCAGUCGAAGACUGUUCUCACCGACGUCUUCCUUGGGAAGAAGCGGAAGGCCUCAAGCCCUUGAGCGAUAUUAGUUGUCACUGCAGUCGAAGACAGUUCUCACCGACUUCCUUGGGAAGAAGCGGAACGCCUCGCCCUUGAGCGAUAUUAGCUGCGGCGUCCUUGUUGAUUUUGUUUGCUUUGCUUUGUUGAACAUUUUAUACAAUGUCUGCUCUUAGGAACAGGAAACAAAAACAUGAAUCCUGUUAAACAAACGUUUUCGUGGAAAUGGUUUUGUGAGGGAACAUUC